rnacentral:lncRNA from 1 species
CGGCCUCCCGGCCAGGAGUCCAGUCCUUCAUUACUUCGGGAUCACAACCCUUAUGUUCAAAUGCCAGCCUUAAUGAAGGUCACUUAAUAGAGGUGGCGAGAAGAUGAACUCAGACUGAGGAAACCCAUUCUGCUCCUGGGCGAGCAGGUUAACAUUCUGAAGAAUGAAGGAAGAAUAUCAAGAGGGUAGGCACAUUCAUGCCUUG